rnacentral:rRNA from 1 species
UACGAGAGGCCCAAACGUUAUUCGGAUUUACUGGGCUUAAAGAGUCCGUAGGCGGCGCAGAAAGUGGGGUGUGAAAGCCCUCGGCUCAACCGAGGAAUUGCGCUCCAAACUCCUGUGCUUGAGGAAUCUAGAGGUGAGCGGAACUGAUGGUGGAGCGGUGAAAUGCGUUGAUAUCAUCAGGAACACCGGAGGCGAAGGCGGCUCACUGGGGAUUUUCUGACGCUGAGGGACGAAAGCCAGGGGAGCGAACGGG